CCUACGGGUGGCAGCAGUGGGGAAUAUUGCACAAUGGGGGAAACCCUGAUGCAGCGACGCCGCGUGAGUGAAGAAGUAAUUCGUUAUGGAAAGCUCUAUCAGCAGGGAAGAAAAUGACGGUACCUGAGUCAGAAGCCCCUGCUAACUACGUGCCAGCAGCCGCGGUAAUACGUAGGGGGCAAGCGUUAUCCGGAUUUAAUGGGGGUAAAGGGAGCGUAGACGGCCGUGCAAGUCUGGAGUGAAAGGCGGGGGCUCAACCCCCGGACUGCUCUGGAAACUGUACGGCUGGAGUGCAGGAGAGGUAAGUGGAAUUCCUAGUGUAGCGGUGAAAUGCGUAGAUAUUAGGAGGAACACCAGUGGCGAAGGCGGCUUACUGGACUGUAACUGACGUUGAGGCUCGAAAGCGUGGGGAGCAAACAGGAUUAGAUACCCUUGUAGUC
rnacentral:rRNA from 1 species